GGAUGUGAGGGCGAUCUGGCUGGGACAUCUGUCACCCCAUGGAUCUCCAGGGUUGAUUCAGCUGAUCUGGCUGGCUAGGCUGGCGUCCCCUUCCUCCCUCACCACUCCUUGUGUGUCCGUCCCGAAGCUGCGCACUCUGUUGAAGAGGACGACCAUCCCAGACAGAGGAGGACCAGUCUUUGUUCAAGGGUAUGUGAGUAGCUGCGCUCCCCUGCUAGAACCUCCAAACAAGCUCUCAAUUAUAAACAAAUAGCACCAAAACAUUUAGCAACAGUCUCUUUAUUUCUAGGAUUUAUCAAGCUCUGAUUAA
ensembl:misc_RNA 7SK 7SK RNA